AAUUUGUGCAUUGGGCAUUUUUGCAACAAUUCCUUAAAAAGUUCCCAAGCCUCAUGCAAACUUUCAUCCACUAACUUCAAGAAGGAAGUGAGGUCAUUUCGAAGUUU